UGGACAAACAUGAAGUAAGGAUCAAAACGAAAGUAUAUAAAAUACCAGAAGACCGCGCAGCAGAAUAUCCCCUAACAAAGGAAACACACGAAUCUGUCGAGUAAAAAGGCAAUGAACAAUAAACAACACUCACUUUUCAUUUCAAUAUUUUUUUAAUCAAAGAAAAACUCAUAUUUUCUCUGUUUUGUUCUUCAAAUCUUCAUGUUGUUCUUAACAAGCCAAGAAAACACCGUCGCUCUGCCUUGCCGACUGUCACUCCUCGGCUCCUGCCACGGUUCACCGGCGACGGGAAAAAAAUAAACACUCUUUUUGAAUCCUUUUCUCCUCUCCGACCCAAAUUCGAAUUCAAAAUCUCCUAAUGAACACAAGAUCUCAGUAGAUCUAAAAAACUCGUUUUAUAUCCUUCAAGAACAGAAACUCGCCAGAGGCGUUACAAAUUUGGGGAGAUCUCUUUCAAAAGUGGACCUCAGCUUCUUUAAGGUAUAUGAAGGCCUCAUGAUCCUCUGAUAUUUUUGGCUUGAUUCGUGCUACCCUUUGACGUUGUGGUCCUUAUUUUUGGAUGAGUUUGGGUGGGGAUUUUGUACGAAGAUGGCAGAGGUUGGGGGACCAGAUCUGACAUGGCCAUCUUGCUUGACGGUGGAGCCUCUACGCGGCAUCUGAACCAUCGGAUGUCUUGGUACCGUUUGGGGAAGGCGGCGGCAACUACCCCUUUGUAUUUAGGGUUUUUUUGGAUCACCGUUAGAUUCAACAGUCAAGAUCAUUGACGGCUAGGGUUUAUGAAAUACCAAAGUAUGUGGGCUUUAGAUAGCUUGGGUUAUAUAAUGGACCUAUAAAUCAAAUUAAUAAAAGUUAGCCUUAUUUGAA